rnacentral:lncRNA from 1 species
AAUGCAAAUGCCAUCAAUAGAUAAGACAAGAGCCUUAGUCCAAGACGAAUGCACUUUGUAUUCUUUCAUAACCCAUAUUUCAAUUGUUUCAUCCCCCAUAGCCCAUAGACUAAGAAAUUCUCCAAAUAUCCACAAAUCACAAUCUAUAGGUUCAUGAUCAAAACCAUAUGGAAAAGGCAUCUCUAAAAGUUUCCUUUCCACUAAAUCAAAGCCAACAAUAACAUCCAUUGACAAAUCAUGGCGAAAAGAGAACCAAUGAAUAGUCCCAUUAAAAAGCGUCCCUACCUUGGGAUCAUCAUUUGCAUUCAUAUAAUAAGGGAAGUGAGUAUACUUCACCAAUCCAUGACACUCAAUUUCUUUCCAUGUAUUCGCUCUCAAUGAGAAAAACUUCAAACGUGAUGAAAUAUUAUCUUCAAUUGGGUCUACACUUUUAUCAUAGGACACUGAUACCACCAAGUAAUCAUCUCUUGAAUGGUCAUACCCAAAACCAUAUAGACAACAUACAUAUUUUGCAUCUAAAUUGGAAGGAGGAAAAGGUAUUUGUCUGAGACGUCCAGUGGAUGGAUUCCAUAGGUAGAUGUGUAAAGAAUAAGUCAAAACAAUAAAUCCUCGACAUGAACUUUUAAUUUCAAGAUUAGAAUAAGAUUCGGGAAGUAUAAAAUUAAAGUUCAGUGAAGUAGAAGCAGAAUCAUCGUUAAGCGAUGCUUCAAAAUCUAUGGAUCGAAUUUCAAGAGCUGGAGUUGACAUGAACACAAUUCUAUUAGUGUGUGUUCUAGUGGAAAGGUCAAAAUGCGAUUUUGCAAAGUGAGGAUCAGAGAUAAGAGUUAACCAUGACUUACAAACACACUUGAAACGUAUAAGUGACUUCACCGGCAACCUCAACAAGAUUUGUAUGAUCAAUUCAUGAGGCAGAUACAGGCCGGUCUUCGUCUCCAUCUGUCUUCCUUCUCUGCAAUUGUAACUAAUUUAAUUUAUGACUUGUGAAAGAUAAAGUAUUACUACGUUGGUGAUGAGAUAGUAAGAGAGGGCUCAGUGAUAUUUAAUCCUUCUCUGGUACUCUUCAAAAGUUCAUUGUUACAUGAAUGUGAUGGUCCAUUCUUUAAGUCAACGAACAUUAUUUAUAUAUUGCAAAGGGAAAAGCAGUAAACAUUGCGUGAAAGCCAACCCAACAUGUUACUUUUAUAUUAAAAAUGAUUAAAUACAUGACUAACUCUUUUGUGGAGAAAAUUCAAUGAAAGAGAACAAUACAUCGUGUGUGUUUAAUAACUUCAAAAUUAGCCACCCAUAAACGGAUGAAAGACAUGCUUUUGCAAUUCAGGAAAUAGCCAAAAACUAGUUUAAAUUGGUCAUUUGAUCCCUGGCUAGUUUUAGUUUCAUUUUGGUCCCAUAAAUUCUAAAAAGUUAUUUGAUCUCUAGGUUAACCUUAAUCAGAAAUGUAUACGUUGAACCAACAUUUUAGAUAAUUCACCAUAGACUUUAUUAAUUUUUUAAUUUCAGCUCUUUAAUCUAUUUUUUAAAAAGAGGAAGAUUAGAUUUUAGAGAUUCAUUGUAUCUAACAGCGAACCAUCAACAACUAUUUAUUUCCCUUUUAUUCAUCAUCUUUCUUUCUCUAUAUCAUCUUCGACAUAUCCUUUAUACACCUUCAUCAUAUUAAAAAAAUGUAUAUUCGAGAAAGUCAAUUCAUCUCCCACCUCCACUCCUUCAUCUCUCCCACAUGCAUCAACCUUCAUCCUCCUCCCUUUCCAUAAAUCUUUCGCACCCAUCAAUCUUUCAUGAAUCAAAUCGAGAGAAAAAGAAGCAAACAGUUUAAUAGGAUAUAUGGUGAACCACUUAUAAUGUUGUUCCACUUUAUACAUUUAGGGUUAAAAAUUAACGAAAAAAUAUCAAAUUGAUUCACGGAAACAAUUCUUAUAACGUUGUGUGGAGUUGUAUUAGGAAAUUAAUAGGUUGACCACUUCAUUUUGUACACACUUUGCACCACUGUUGAUGUGGCCAAUACUGACCUAGUCUAGGGGAGAGAGGAGCCCCCCAUUCCACUAUAAUGAUGAGUAACUUUACAAAAGAGAUGUCAAAGAGUUACAAGAAAACCUAAUUCUACCCAAAGUCUCAAUCUCUUCCUGUGACCAAGAGACUCAAUCACUACUAGAAAAAGCAAAAUUAGUAAGGGAAAUUAGUGACGGAAAAAAUGAAAUUCGUCACAAAUUUCUUGGUCGCAAAAUUUAGUGACGGAAUUAGAGAGGGAUUUUACGUUUUCCCUCACUAAAUUUCCCUCACUAAUUUUUUUUUUUUUUAGUAGUGAAUCCUGAUAGUGUUUCCCAAGGUGAAUCACUCACAACCCUUGUGUCUCCCGCUUAGAGAAAACUCUCUAAAACCCUAGUUUGUUGUUUGUUUCUAAACCCUUGCUUUCAGACUCUCUACCUCUCAAGGUUUCAUCUGAUACAAGGUUUAUAUUUAUAGUAAAAGUAUUCCUCAAAAAACUGGAACAAGUCUCAGCCCAAAAUAUGAUUUUGUUUUAUUUUCUGUUUCGCAAAUUUGGGCCCCAAUUUUUGCUCUUCGCCCGCCGAAAAAUGUCGUACCAAAAGGCUGAAAAACACUGUCAAAUCCGGCCACCGACUUUUCCAAUUCGGGCCCCUAUUGUGGCCGUCGAACGCCGUCACAGAUCUAAAAGUCAGAGACGUGCUCAAGGCAGCGAGAUCAGAACGGUGAGAGUCGUAGAUAUGGGUGUGGAGGACGAGAGAGAGCAUGGAUGGGAGAGAGAUUACAAUUUGAGGGUGAAGGUCGCCGUCUCCAGUGGAGGAUAGGGAUCGACGAGAAAGAGGCGAGGCAGAGGAGAGAGGAAGAAAGAAUUCUCUUCUGAUUUUUUGGAUGAGUUUCGUUGUUUUUGCCACAUGUCACAAUUGCGUGCGAGAGUCAAAGGAUGUACGCCACCUAAAGUGGUCCAUGUAUAAGGACUGGUUGUAUUAUACGUUAUUGUGUUCUAGUUCGUUCCUACAUGCUAGUGCAGUGCUCUGUACAUUUUGCUCUUAUCGGGGUACGUGUUGUGCUUUGAUAUGAGUUGUUAUAAGAAAUUUACUCCAAUUAGAAAAAGGUCAGUUUUUAUAAGUGUUGGAAAAUACAUUAAUUGUCUAUUUUCCAAUGAUGUUAUUCCCUAUGUUAUUAUUUUCUAGUCAAGUCUAGAGAAUUCCAUUGUUAUUUUUCCAAUGUAACAAGUUUUUAGGCUAGUCUAGGAAAACAUUAAUUGUAUUCUCUCUAUAAAAAUCAGCCUUUGGCUGAGGAAUAAAUCAUAAAUGCAUUCACCCAUAAUAUUUCUUUUCAAUAUGGUAUCAAAGCCCGUUGUGAAGGUUUCCACAACUAGCUAGGUUCUGAUCAACCUGCUUUCUUACUUGAACAGUUUCACAUACCCAUUUAACCUCUCAUGGCGGAUCACAACAGGUGGUCUUCCCUAUCACAGACCUACACCGGAUCCUCCACCACCAACCAUGGAGAACAACCACCUGUGUCAGGCGUUGGUCGUGGUGGUGGUCGGGGAGAUGGUGGUGGUGGUGGCGAUGGUGGCGGCUGUGGUCGCCGAGAUGGCAUAACAUAUUUUUCUGCAAACAGCGGCGAUAAUGGCGGCAACAAUGGAAAUAGGAACAAAAAUGUUUUUGGCAAUAUCAAUUUCAACAUAGGCUGCAAUAACCAAGAGGGUUCCUCGUACUCCCUCAAGGUUAAUAUUCCUAAGUUGAAUGGGAAUAACUAUAAUGAAUGGGCCCAAACUAUUCGCUUGGUAUUGGAUAGCAAAGGGAAGCUUGCUUUUUUAAUAGGAGCAGUAGCUGAACUGGCAAGAGAAGACCCUCUUUACAAACAAUGGAAGUUUGAAAAUUCCUUGAUUAUUGCUUGGUUGGUAAGCUCUGUGUAAACUGGAAUAGGUAAGCCUUACAUGUGUUUGCGUUCUGCAAAGGAUGUGUGGGAAGAUGUUAAGGAAACAUAUUCUGAUAUCCAAAAUUCCUCCCAAAUUUUUUGUUUAAAAUCAAAGUUAUGGCAUGUUAAACAAGGUGACAGAAGUGUAACCACUUAUUUUAAUGAGUUGUUGACCCUGUGGCAAGAGUUGGAUCUCUGUUAUGAUGACAAUUGGAGGUGUACAGAGGAUAGUGUUCUAUUUCUCAAGAGGCAAGAAAAUGAUCGUGUCUUCAUGUUUCUUGAUGGGCUGAAUAAAGAUCUUGAUGAGGUAAGAGGUCGAAUUUUAGGAAAGACACCAUUGCCAACUCUUCGUGAAACUUUUGCAGAAAUAAGAAGGGAGGAGUCACGACAAGGAAUUAUGAAGGGAAAGACACCACGAAGCUCUGAAUCUGAAGGCUCGGCUUUGGCUACUAGGAACCUCGACGAGGGAAAAAGGUCGGACAAAGUGAUUCCUUACUAUGAUCAUUGCAGGCGUGAAUGGCAUACACGUGAAACUUGUUGGAAGCUCAAAGGAAAACCUCCUAACUGGAAGAAGAAAGGCAGUCGUGCAUUUCAGGCUAGUAAUUCUGAUCAAGGGCAGCAAUCCUCUUCAACUCAGCUUCCACUCACUACGGAACAACUAGACAAACUUUUCAAACUUCUUGAGUCUUCAACUCCUUCCUACUCUAUAGCAACAAAAGGGAAUUCUGCAUUUCUUAGUGUUAGUCUCAAUCAUACUUGGAUACCCAAUCAUACUUGGAUAGUAGAUUCAGGUGCCUCUGACCACAUGACAGGUGAAUCCACUUUGUUCUCUUCAUAUAGCCCAUGUGCAGGUAAUCAAAAAAUAAAAAUUGCAAAUGGCUCUUUUUCAGCCGUUGCAGGUAAAGGGUCCGUUGUGUUGUCUCCACUCUUAACUCUUGAAAAUGUCCUUCAUGUUCCAAAAUUAUCAUGUAAUUUAAUGUCUGUCAGUACAUUAAUCGAAGAUAAAAAUUGUCAAAUUAAUUUUUCAAAUCUCACUGUGUCUUUCAGGAUUUGAACUCGGGGAAGAUGAUUGGCAGUGCUAAGAAGAGUGGAGGACUCUACUACCUUGACAGUGGAUCUGCAUCACAACUACCUUCAAAAAAAAUAAGUUCCUGCUUUGAGUCUUUUUCUGUUUUGAAUAAUAAUGAUGGCAACGUUAUGUUAUGGCAUUUACGAUUAGGUCAUCCUAGUUUUGGUUACUUAAAACACUUGUUUCCUAAGUUAUUUAAUAAUAAGAACAUUUCUUCGUUUAAAUGUGAAGCAUGUGAAUUUGCAAAACAUCAGCGUUCCUGAUUUCCAAUAUAGCCUUAUAAACCAUCAAAAACUUUUUCUCUUAUUCAUAGUGAUGUUUGGGGCCCUAACUGUACAAGUACACUUUCUCUCAAAAAAUGGUUUAUCACGUUUAUAGAUGACCAUUCAAGAGUAUGUUGGGUAUACUUGUUAAAGGGGAAAUCAGAUGUUUGUCAGACUAUUAAGAAUUUUAUUGCAAUGGUGCAAAACCAAUUUCAAACAAAUAUUCAAGUCUUUAGAAGUGAUAAUGGCAAAGAAUAUUUUAACAUUAUUCUGGAUGAUUUUUUUCUUAAAAAUGGGAUUGUACAUCAAAGUUCAUGUCCCAAUACUCCUCAACAAAAUGGAGUCGCCGAAAGAAAAAUAGACAUUUAUUGGAGGUAGCUAGAGCUUUACUUUUCUCAAGUAAAGUUCCAACUAUUUGUGGGGUGAAACAGUUUUAACAAUUGCAUAGUUAAUUAACAGGAUGCCUUCGAAAGUUCUCAAUUUUCAAACUCCAAUUAAUACUUUCAAAGAAUGUCUUCCUAGUACGUGUUUUUCAACUGAUUUGACAUUAAAAAUCUUUGGUUGCACAGCCUUUGUUCAUGAACAUAAAAAUGUUGGAAAACUUGAACCACGUGCUAUAAAAUGUGUUUUUGUUGGAUACUCCCCAACCCAGAAGGGAUACAAAUGCUUUGAUCCAAAAAACAAGAAAAUGUUUGUCACUAUGAUUUUACAUUCUUUCAAAAUAAACCUUUUUUUGAUGACCCUCAUCUUCAAGGGGGGUAUAAUGGAAGACUCGUUUCAAACUGAGGACAUGAAUUUUUCAAAUAAUUUGUCUUUGCCUGUAUCACAAAGUUCUAAGACUUCUACUUCUGCACCAGCAAAAAAUGGCCAUGAUUCUAUAUCUGCUCCUACUCCUGCUAUGAGUAAGGCACUUGGUGAAUCCGAGCCUACAUCUUCUCAUGAGGAAAACAAUGAGAAUCUUGAAAACGAUCAUAGUGAUGAUCUAGUUAAAAUGCCACAAAAUAAUGAGUCACUUGAAGAUAAUAGACUUGAACUAGGAAGCAGGAUUUGGAAAGGGAAGGUUUUUGUGAAGAAGCACCACAAAGAAAGGGAUGAGUCCACAUCUCAACACUGUCAUGAAUCUGAACUGGGAAAUAAUCAACCUCCUAAGAAAAGGAAAGGUAAGUUUGUCUCUGUUUCUGAGAGUCGUAUUUUGUAUCCUGAUAUAGAUGAUCAUGUCGCCAUUAGAAAACCUGUUAGAUCUUGCACUAAACACCCUAUGUCAAAUUUUAUAUCAUAUUCAAAUUUUUCUUCAUCCUUGUCUGCCUUCACCUCAAAAUUGUCUAGUGUAGAAAUUCCAAAAAGUGUACACGUUGCUCUAAAAAUUUCAAAGUGGAGGGAAGUUGUACUUGAAGAGAUGAACGCUCUUGAAAAGAACAAAACUUGGAGUGUCACAACACUACCAGAUGGCAAGAAGACGGUUGGUUGCAAAUAGGUGUUUACUGUGAAGUAUAAUUCAGAUGGGUCAAUUGAAAGGUACAAGGCUCGCUUGGUGGCUAAGGGCUUUACUCAAACUAAUGGUAUAGACUACUCAGAGACAUUUGUUCCUAUUGCAAAAUUAAACACAGUGAGAAUUCUCUUAUCUCUCGCUACGAACCUGGAUUGGCCUCUACAUCAGUUGGAUGUUAAGAAUGCCUUUCUCUUUAGCAAUCUAGAAGAAGAAGUGUAUAUGGACAUUCCUCCUGGUUUUGAAAACAAAUUUGGAUCAAAUGUAAGCAAACUAAAUAAGUCUUUGUAUGGAUGAAAGCAGUCUCCUAGAGCUUGGUUUGAAAAAUUCACUCAGUCCAUGAAGAAAUAAGGGUACAUUCAAGGACAGGCUGACCACACCUUGUUCACAAAGUUCUCCCACGAUGGAAAAUUCGAUGUCCUGAUUGUUUAUGUUGAUGAUAUUGUACUUACUGGAGAUGAUAUAGUGGAAAUGGUAAGAGUAAAAGAGAAAUUAGCAGUAGACUUUGAAAUCAAGGACUUGGGAUCCAUGAGAUAUUUUCUUGGUAUGGAGGUUGCUCAAUCAAAGAAGGGUAUUGUGGUUUCUCAGCAGAAAUACAUUCUGGACUUAUUGAAAGAAACAGGAAUGAGUGGAUGUCGUCCAGCAGAUACCCCUAUGGAUCCUAAUGCUAAACUUUGGGGAGAAGGCAGUGUUCCUAUUGAUACUGGAAGAUAUCAGAGAUUGGUUGGGAAAUUGAUUUAUUUGUCGCACACCAGACCUGAUAAUGCCUUCUUAGUUAGUGUUGUAAGUCAGUUCAUGCAUUCUCCUUUCGAGGAACAUCUUGAGGCAGUCUAUAGGAUACUGAGAUAUUUGAAGGAAAAUCCCGGAAAAGGCUUACUUUUUAAGAAGACUAGUGAAAGAAAUGUGUCUAUCUUCACCGAUGCUGAUUGGGCAGGUUCAGUCACAGACAGAAGAUCAACCUCUGGAUAUUGUACCUAUGUUCAGGGUAAUCUUGUGACAUGGAGAAGCAAGAAACAAGGAGUUGUAGCAAGAAGUAGGGCAGAAGCAGAGUUUAGAGCUAUGGCUCAUGGUAUUUUUGAAGGAUUAUGGAUCCAGAGAUUCCUAGAAGAACUUAAGAUUAAAAUUGAGCUUCCAUUAAAGUUAUACUCAGAUAGUAAAGCCGCUAUUAGCAUAGCUCAUAACCCAGUUCAACAUGAUAGAACCAAACAUAUUGAAAUUGGUCGACAUUUCAUAAAAGAGAAGUUAGACGCUGGAAUCAUAUGUCUACCUUUUGUGACUUCAAGUCAGCAAACUGCAGAUAUCUUGACCAAAAAAGCUUGGUAAGACCAACCUUUGAGCAUUUAAUAGACAAGUUGGGCAUGAUUGAUAUCUAUGCACCAACUUGAGGAGGGUGUGGGAAAAUACAUUAAUUGUUUAUUUUCCUAUGAUGUUAUUCCCUAUGUUAUUAUUUUCUAGUCAAGUCUAGAGAAUUCCAUUGUUAUUUUUCCAAUGUAACAAGUUUCUAGGCUAGUCUAGGAGAACAUUAAUUGUAUUCUCUCUAUAAAAACCAGCCUUUGGCUGAGGAAUAAAUCUUAAAAGCAUUCACCCAUAAUAUUUCUUUUCAAUAAUAAGACAGGUAUGCAAAACUAUAAAUAUGCUUCUAUUCUAUUAUGGUUUUUAAAGACUACUUUCUCUGGAAAUAGUUUCAAAUUGUAAGUAAGGUCGCUGCAAUAUCAAAUUGUAAGAGAAGUAAUUGUAGGCCAGCUUUAGUUGAAUUGUGUAUUUUUUUAGAUGUCCAAGCAAACUCAGCUCAGAUGAACUUUGUUAGGAAUCAUCAAUUCAAAAAGCUUAAGCUAUUUUAGGUGGAAAAUACAUGAAUAGUUUUUAUAUCAUAUCUUUAACAUAACCCCUUGAAACUACAGCUCUUGAAGAAUGGACUAUACACAACAAGAACCAAACUCUACACCACUUGAUCAAAGCCUGUGAUACCAUUUCAUGAACAAACUAUGCCAAAAGCUGUGAUACCAUUUCAUCAACAAACUAUGCUACAAGUUUAAGCUAUUAAGUGAAGACAUAAAUAAUUUUUCAAUAUUGUAUAAAUGAACUAUAUCACCAAUGGCAAUCCAAUGGAGCAUCUUUUUAAUCUUGAACAUAACACUUCAUAAGAAUGCAACAUCUACUUUAAAUAGAUUAUAUUGGAUCAUACUGUACUCCAUUUCAAAUAUGCAUGUGGCUCCUCCUUCUUGUCAUCCAAUCCAAACACAAAUAGAAUUACCAUUGAUGGCCUUGUGUCAAGUUAUUGUGGUCAUGUUUGGAUUUGUUCAAUAUUUCACAUAGAGAGAUUAAACCCAUCAAAUAACUACCACUAUCUUAUAAUAACACAUAUGCAAACAAGGAACACAACAUAGAUUAAACCCAAUCAAGUUACACAUGCAUAAUUAACUGUGAAUCACACAAUCUAAAUUGUCAAGAUUUUCAAUGAACAUUACAAAUAUUUGACCAAUAAACAUAUUACAUUAGCUUGUGUUGCAUACUGGAUCAUAUUACAAACAAAAUCAAACACAUAUUACCCAACAAAUGCAGCCACCCAAGAGUUUAUAAUAUAAUAUAAUUAUAAAUAUCAAGAAGUUGAAGAAGAAUGCUUCACAACCUCAUUCUUCUUCUCUGUGUCAUCUUAAAAUUGCCCACUGUCACCAGGGAGUGAAAGCAGAGACUCUGUGUACAUAACCACUAGGGCACAUGGAUCGUUAAAGUAUGAGCGAUUCUCUAGCAACUGACCAUUGCCAUCAUACUUUACCAAUUCACCACCACCAUUUGUUCCAAUAAUACCACCACUUUUUGUAGAGCAUAUUGGGGGAUAAUACUCAAUGGAAAUGUCAUCAAUAGAUAGGACAAGAGUUUUAACCCAAGACGAAUGCACUUUGUAUUCUUUCAUAACCCAUAUUUCAACUGUUCCAUCCUCCAUAGCCCAUAGACUUAGAAAUUCUCCAAAUAUCCACAAAUCACAAUCUAUAGGUUCAUAGUCAAAACCAUCUGGAAAAUGCAUCUCCAAAAGUUUCCUUUCCACUAAAUCAAAGCCAACAAUAACAUCCAUUGAUAAAUCAUGGCGAAAAGAGAACCAAUGAAUAGUCCCAUUAAAGAGCAUCCCUACUUUGGGAUCAUCAUUUGCAUUCAUAUAAUAAGGGAAGUGAUUAUACUUUACAAAUCCAGGACACUCAAUUUCGUUCCAUGUAUUAGCUCUCAAUGAGAAAAACUUCAAAUGUGAAGAAAUAUUAUCGUCUACUGGGUCUAUACUUGUAUUAUAGGACACUGAUACCACCAAGUAAUCAUCUCUUAAAUGGUCAUACCCAAAACCAUACAGACAACAUGAAUAUUUGGCAUCUAAAUUGGAAGCAGGAAAAGGUAUUUGUUUGUGAUGUCCAGUUGAUGGAUUCCAUAGGUAGAUGUUUGAAGAACAAGUCAAAACUAUAAAUCCUCUACAUGAACUUUUAAUUUCAAGACUAGAAUAAGAUUCUGGAGGCAUAAAAUUAAGGUUCAGUGAAGUAGAAGCAGAAUCAUCGUUAAGCGACGCUUCAAAAUCAAUGGAUCGAGUUUCAAGAGCUAGAGUUGACAUGAACACAAUUCUAUUAGUGUGUGUUGCAGUGGAAAGUUCAAAAUGCGAUUUUGCAAAGUUAUGAUCAGAGAUAAGAGCUAACAAUGACUUACAAACGCAUUUGAAACGUAUGAGAGACUUCACCGGUAACCUCAACAUGAUUUGUAUUAUCAAUUCAUGAGGCAGAUACAGGCCGGUCUUCUUCUCCAUCUGUCUUCCUCCUCUGCAAUCGAUGUUUUGUUUCUCUUCGUCUUGGAUUACUAAUUUAAUUUGUGUGAUGGUGAUAUAUAAAGUGAUGAUCCUUCUUUGGUACUCUUCACAAGUUCAUUGUUGAAUACUCUUUCCUACAUGGAAUGCGAUGAAUCAAAGAACAUUAUGUAUUGCUAUGCCCAAGCCCAACAUGUCAAUUUUAAAAUAAACCAAACAAAUAAAUUAAAAUACACGUAAAUAAGAUAUUCAACAACCCUAUCCCUAUGGUUUCUUUAACUAUCAACAACAAAACGUGUAAAAUUGCUUUAAACAACAUACCCAUUAAUAAAGAUUUGAAAUUUAGCACGACCCAGAUUGAGAUUUGAGGAAUUAAAGGCGUGAAAGUGUAAACGAACCAAAUGGGUCCUUUUAAUUGGUUGAUUUGGUGAAAACCCUAGUAGUGUGGUAGAUUGAGAGUAAACUGGAAAGUGAGUUUUGGUUAUUGAUGAAAAAGGAGAUAGGAGUGGUGGAGUCGGUGUUGAUGAGGUAGUUGUAGAGGGGAGAGAAAAAGUGGGUAGUGUGGAGAAAGGGGGAAUUGAGUUGAAAUCGAACUGAAGAAGAAGAUGAUGGAGGAAUGAUGGUGCUGAAUGAAGAAAAGGAUUUUGUAAUUAAAAAUUGAGAAUUGUUAGGACAAAUAUGCAUUGGUGUGUCACACUUGUAAUUUACCAAAAUGUUCCUCGGCAGUUAACUCCAGAGAAAAACUUCGGCAGUAAACUACUGAGGAAAACUGAAAACUUCGGUAGUUAAUUGCCGAAGUUUUCAGUUUUCCUCGGUAGUUAACUGCAGCCGGUUCCAUAAUUCGGCAGUUAACUGUUGAAGGGCAUUUCGGUAAAUUACUAGUGUGACACAGUCUUAUGCAAUGUGUCAACAGCAAUUCUCUUAAAAAUUAAGAUUUGUCUAUUUUUACCGGUUAAUUACCCACUCCCUCCAUUUUAAAAUGAAUGUCUUUUAAUGUUUUUUCUAUACAUAUUAAUAAAUGCAUUAAUUAAAAGAAAAAUAUGUUAUUUUAUCAUUAAUUAAUUAAUGUUCAAGAAGAUAAGAAUAAAAAAACAGUGUGCAACCCAAUAAAAGACCGUCCUAGCUAAAGUAUGAUUAACCAUGAUUAAUAAAAGAAAAAUUCCAUGAUGAAAUUUAUUAGAAUGACUUUUUUGGUGAAGUCAUUAGCAGUGGCGGAGCCAGGAAAUUUACGGAGCCCGGGCGAAAAAUUUAUCCCAAAUUAUAUCAAUAGUCAUAAAUCAAUUUUUUUAUUUUAAUAAUUAAAAAAAUCGAAAUAAAAGAGGUUUAUCAAUUUGUCAAUAAAAGUACAAUUUAAAAUAGGAUUAUUAAUUAAAAUCGACCAUGUAAUAUAUGUGAAGUCUGAAAAUUGGCCCUGUAAUUAAAUAACAUGUAUUUUGACCAUGUAAUUCGAAAUUUUUAUUAUUUAUAACCCUAUAAUAUACGUGAAGUCCAAAAAAGAAUUCGAGAGAUUGAAUUUUUUCAUGAUUUGUUAAAGGCGAGUUAAGAACGUUAAAAUACGGCUUUGCAAAAAAAUUUAGAAAUUUUCGACAAACGACAAAUUAAUUAUGAAUUUUUAAAGUGUCAAAAGCUCAAAAAACAAAACAAUGGAAAUCUCGACCUAUAAAUCAAAUUUUGAGCUCAUUAUUCGUAGAGACAUCUAUAAUUUUAUAUAAAAAGGAUAUGUAAAGUUUCAUAGCAUUUCGAAGUCGUUUAAAUUUAUUAUGAUUUUUUAACCAAAACGUGCAAAAUUGAAAUUUUGUUCCGCGUAAGCGUAUACUUACAAGUCAAAUUUAGUUCCCUAAUUUUGUAGGCAUGACUAGAGCAUGAUAAGAACCUUCACAGUGAAAUUUUGUAGUCUUUAAACGAGAUACAAAUUAAUAAUUAAUUUAUCUCUGGUCGAAGAAAUUUAAUUUUUUAUGUAAAGCUAUAUUUUAACGUGCUAAUCAUGUAUGAAAAAAUUCAACAUGUAGGUCACAUUUUUAGACUACAUGUAUAUUACAGGGUGGUUAAAAAUAAGAAGAAAUUCAAGUUACAAUGCUAGAAUAUAUAUGUUUUGUAUUUUUAAGGGUCAUUUUUCAGACAUAAAGUAUAUUACAGAGUCAAUUUGAACAAUUAACCCGUUAAAAUAAGAGAGAUGAACCCGUCAAUUGUGUGCUAAAUAAAAUUCUGAGACCUAUUUGCGUGUGAGAAUUUUCAGAUUGCCCAAAUUUUUCUUUUUGUAAGUGUGUUAAUUGGCUUUUGGGUUGAGUCUAAUGUGCAAAAAUUAUCGAUCGAGCCUGGGCGACCGCCCGGAGUCGCCGGACGGUGAAACCGCCCAUGGUCAUUAGAAUGACCAAUCAUUUUACAUUUAUGUAUUUAAUACAUAUCACGUCCAAUUAUAUUGUGUACUGUACAUUUGCUCAUACGGUGUGCCACUAUAUUUUUACUUGUUGUUUUAACAAAAAUAUUUUUACUCUUUUUUUGGCAAGAAAAAAUAUUUUUACUUAUUGCAAUUGUAUCCCUAAUUAAAUCAAAAUUAAAUUUUAAUAUUAUUAUUACUUUUUUUUGCCAACAAUCACUCUCUAUUUUUUUUUUAUCAUUGCACGCUACCUCCCUGCUUUUGCAAUUCUCCAUUCCACACGAAGCAUAGUUUUAAAACUCGGCUCGGUCAUCGACUCGGUGGGGUACUGGGUCACUGGAUCAAUAAUCAAACCAGUGAGUCAUUGGUCGAACCGCAUAACUGAACCGGAUUAAACCGGAUAACUCAGAUGUAUAACUCGGUCUAUAUGAAAAAUGUGUACUUGUAUUAAACUGAGAUGGAUCAUAUUAAACUAAUCACUCAAUCUCAAAAAUAAAAAUAAAAAAAAUCAUAAAACCUACCAAUUGUCAAAAUCAUCAAAAUUAAUCACUUUAUAUGCACAUUUCAUACUACACAAAUUUCAGAAGCGCGGUUCACUGACCCUGCCGGUUUUCAAAAACCACCGAGUCAUCGGUUUUUACCGAGUUUGACCGGUUCUUUCCGGUUCACACCGGUUUAAUAGCAUACCCGAUCCAAUACUUGGCUCGAACCGGUCAGGUGUCCGGUUCCCGAUUCAACCGAUUGAACCGGCCGGUCCGAGCCGGGUUUUAAAACUAUGCCCGAAGGUACUUCAGAUUUUCUUUCUCAAUAAUUGUCAUGUUUUUUUACGGUUAGCUUGUAGUUUUUCAUAUAAAGUUCAUGCUUCAAAAUUCGUAUGUUUAAUCGAAACAGUUUAAUGUGUUUUCUUCUUAGUUUCUCGGUUGGACUCUUUGGACUCUAUGAUAACUGCUAUCAAAUUUGAAUCCCUUUCUCUUUACAGGUUAUUGCUUUGAUAAUGAAAUUAGGUGAUUUGCUAGAAUUCUAUGAUUAAAUCCCUAACUUGGGUUAGCAAAAUGUAUAAUUUAGGUUAGCAAAAUCCCCUUACACAAAUGAAGAAGAAAGAGGAUGAUUAAAAAUGAUUUAAUUUGAGCAUAAAAUCUCCUUCUGCAGAUGAAGAAGAAACGACCAAGAUGAAGAAAAAUGAAUAAUUUGCAGAUGAAGAAGAACAGACGAACAAAAUGAACAGAUGAAGAACAAAAAUGAAUUUAUUUUAAAUUAAAUAAGUUAAUAAAUCAAAAGUAAUUAAUAUUUUAUACGAGGACUGAUUUGUAAUAAGAUAAAAUUUAGUCUUAGAGUGGUCCAUCACAAAGACACUAGCUAACAUUACAUAACAAUCAUGCUAUUGGCUAAAUAAAAUGACUUUUUCAAAAAAAUCAUUUUUUUGACUACACCAUAGAAGCCCCCUAAAUAAAAUUGGUUUGUUUGGAAGUAAUGUACAUAUAGUAUUAAUUGAAAGGUACGAUUGAAAAGAAAAAAUUAUUAUUGCAUUGAAAAAUGAAAGUGACAUUAAUUUUAAAACAAAUUUUUUGUUUAAAAGGACACUUAUUUUGAAACGGAAGGAGUAUUAUCAUUAAUCAAUUAAUGUUCAAUACAAGAAGAUAAGAAUAAAAAAUACAGUGACUAGCCCAAGGAUAGGUUGUCCUAGCUAAAAUAUGAUUAACCAUGUUCGCUUGUCUCCAAACAAACUUCACAUCGAGGUUGAAAUGUAAAGAUAAUUGAUAAAUAAUACUAGAAACAAUAGCACAGAAUUCUGAAUCACCAUGGCCCGGAGACGAUAGACCUUACACUGGAGUAGUUAAGUCAGACUCGAAGACAACCCAGUUCCAUUUGUUCCCAUCAGCAAAGUAAAUAGCAUCGAGUAAAGCUGAUGUCUCCCCCUCCAAAAGUGUCAUAUUUGUCCACUUUCAUUUCAUUUGAGUUAAAUGUCAAGUGUGUGCCACAUAGACAACUUUGCACAGUCAGCAUCUACCAACAUAGGUAAAAAUGCGACAAAUCAACAAAACAAAAAAAGUGGGUCCUUUCAUCUACCCGUGACGUGACCUUUUCUCACAUCAACUAAAGAUUUAUAAUCAAUCUAUUUUAUCUAGUUCACAUGUGUCAUGUCCCUCGUUGUGAUCAAUAGAUAAUGUGACGGUAAGAGAUAAUGCAACUUCUCCAACAUCACUUUGUUCCUUAACAAGACUGGAUAAAUAGUUGGACAAUUGUGAUUUUGGAUUGCUGCCGUAGUUGAGGCAUGAGACAGAUUACAGUUUAUAAUCCAGAAGUACUUGCAAUGAACUAUGAUCUAACCAGAUAUUGUGGUUUUACCGUUCAUUGUGGUUUUACUGCUCAUUAAACUAAUCUCUACAGUUGCUCGCAUAGAAUAUUUUAGUUCACACAAAAAAAUGUCCAUUCCAUUCAAAAAGAAGACAACAUGAGUCGACUGUGUCUUAACACAUGCAUAAAACCAACUAUUAGCAAAUUUAGAAAAAGAGAGAGAAAAUCAGCAAUAUCCGUAAAGUGUCUAACUGGAUUGAAUUGUGGUAUACAUAGGCAACCAACUAUUAGCAAAUUUAGAAAAACUUCCCACAAAGACCUCAAUUCAGCAUAGUAAUCAUUAACAGAAUUUGUACCUUGCUUCAGGUUGUUGAUCUUAGUUUUGAGUUUCCAAACACGAAUGCGAUCAGUUUUACUUAAACGCUCCUUCAAUUCUCUCCAUACAUCAGAAACAAUAUCAAUGUAUAGAAUACUAUGUGCAGUUGAAUCAGAAACAUAAUUCAUGAUCCAAGUAUGGAUGACAUUAUUGCAUCUCUACGCAUAGCACGUGCCCAAGCUUGAUAAUUGGACGUGUUCAAUGGAGGCUUGGUUGUCACAGAAUGAGGUCCAUCACUAGGAUGAACAGGGUCAAGACAAAUCCUGUGUUGGAUCUUGAACUCCAUUAUUGUUGGCAUUUCCAUUGUUACGCACCAUUGUUGUAAAAAAACAAGGAAAAAAAUAGAUGAAGUUUCAGGAAUCAACGAAGGAAGAAAAGUGAAGAAGAUAUAAAAUCUUCAAAAGAAAAUAAAGAAGAAAACGAAGCUUGAGAUGUACGCAUCCAUGGCGGAAGAGAAGCGUAACUGAAUCGUAACAACCUUCUCUCAAGAGAAGACUUCUGAUACCAUAUUAAGAAAGCUAAAAAGAGAGUGAAAUGAAGUGAAUAAAGGUUAAGCACUUAUUUAUAGACUAACAUAGGUACAGCUUAACAAUCAUACACUAACUCCAUCCUAUCUAAACUAACUCUAACUGUCAUAGCAGAAAGCAAGCUUGCGUGGCAAGUUUGUUAGAGCUAUGUCAGGUUACUUGCUCCUCAAGUAAUCUUCCAUCUUCUUCCAUUCUUAACACCAUGUGCAACAAAGCCUAACCAUUUGUGAUUGUAGGAGUCUAGAUUCGGUUUUUAUUAAAGAGAAUCCUCUACGUAAUCAGUCAAGCCUCCGAUCACUUAAAAUCAUAUCCCAUGACUCAAUUGAAUCACUUAAAGUCAAUGUUCGGAUGGACACACUCACUGCUCUUGAAGAGUUGUUUCUUGAAUGUCUAAAGUUAAACAUAGAGGAUUCUCUAAAAGAUAAAUAUCACUCCAAAAUGUAGCAGAUAUAUGUUUCAAAAAGAUUGGCAAAAGUUUCCUUCUGGAAGUAUUCUUAAAGUUUCAUCCUUAUAUCUUUGAAUUUACGAUCCCUGAAACUUACAUUUUUUUCCCCUCAAAAGUUGCUAAAUGAAUUCAAUUUAUGGUUUAUUAAAUUUCACUUAUUCAAUUUUGCAGAAAAUAUAAUAGAAUACCUGUGGCAUUCAUUCUUGCAUUGGAGGCUGGCCUAGUAUAAACAUCAAACAAGGCAUUAAAUGUAGUUUCUAUGAUAUUUAUAAUUUUAAGUGAUUUGUUAUUAUAUCAAACAUGUGAAUUCGGCUACAUAAUAGUUCAGAACAAGUUUAAUAAACAUUUCAAACUACAGGUUUCGCUUUUGACAAUAUUUUCCAUAUGUCAAAUAGAUUAUAUAUAGUUUCAGAAUACUUGAUUUCUUUCUUGUUCUUGUUGUGUGGGACUUCAAUUUUUGAAUUGUUAAAAUCCUGUUAUGAACUUUUAAAGCCAAUUUUUUAAGUACUUAAAACCCAAACAUUCAGAUUUUGAACUGUUCAAAAUCAAUUCAACACAAAAAAAAACAAAAAAAAAACAAAAAAAAAAAAAAUAGUUGGUUUUGGUUCAUAGAAGAAGUAGUUCAAUUCAGCUCAAUUUGGUUCAUAUAAACUUGAUACAUUUUCUUAUAAAGAACGGUAACUGAAAACCUUUGUUUCACUUUGCAAGUCACAGUUUUUAUAGUCUAUUUCCUGGAAUUGUGUUCUCUUUUCUGGUUUUUGAUCCAUCAUGCGCGGUUUGGACCUGUGAUCUUUGGUCUAUUUUGCAAAUUGUUUGGAUAUUGGAUGCUUGUUUCGCCUCUGUCUGAUUUUUCUAUCUUGGUUGAAUGAUGUUGCGCCACAGAAUUUGGAUUUGGAUGCCUAGAAUCUCUUUGGCUUUAGCCUCAGCUUUGUUCCUCAUUUCAUGUUCUCUUUCUUUAGGUUCCAUUUGUGUAGUGUUGCUUGUUUUUGUUGUUGUGUGGAGUUGUAUUAUUCGUUUGUGUUCUGGUUUGUUCCUACAUGCUAGUGCGGUGCUUUGUACGUUUUGCUCUCAUCCGGGGCACGUCUUGUGCUUGGUCCUGAAAUUUGUACAACCGACAGAAGCUGGCUUAGUAAUUGUUAAUAGUACCGUCAUCUGAAAUUGUUAAUUCGGGUCAGCGUUUUAUACAUGUUAGUCGCAAAAUAUAGAUUGACUGAUGCUUCCUUCGUUGAUCAAUUUCCCACACUCUCAAGUUCACCACCUUUGGUUGAAUUGUGAAUUUUUUUAGAUGUUAAAGCAAACUCAGCUCAGAUGAACUUUGUUGUGAAUCAUCAAUUCCAAAAGCUUUAGCUAUUUUAGGUGGAAAGUACAUGAAUAGUUUUUAUAUCAUAUCUUUAACAUAACCCCCUGAAACUACAGCUCUUGAAGAAUCGACUGUGAUACCAUUUCAUCAACGAACUAUGCCAAAAGCUGUGAUACCAUUUCAUCAACAAACUAUGCCAAAAGUUUAAGCUAUUAAGUGAAGACAUAAAUAAUUUUUCAAUAUUUUUCAACAUGACACUUCAUAAGAAUAUUGCAAACAAGUAACACAGCAUAUAUAUUAAAACUCAAUAAGUUAACAUGCAUAAUUAACUGUGAAUCACACAAAUGAAAUUGUCAACAUUUUCAUUGAACAUUACAGAUAUUUGACCAAUAAACAUAGUACAUUAGCUCAUGUGGCAUACUGGAUCAUAUUACAAACACAAUCAAACACAUAUUACCCGGCAAGUGCAGCUACCCAAGAGUUUAUAAUACACUAUAAUUAUAAAUAUUAAGAAAAAGUUGAAGAAAAAUGUUUCACAACUUCAUUCUUCUUCUGUGUGUCAUCUUCUUAGAUUUGUUCACUGUCACCGGGGAGUGAAAGCAGGGACUCUGUAUACAUAGCUACUAGGCGUCCACAUGGAUCGUUAUAGUAUGAGCGAUUUUCUAGCAGCUGACCAUUGCCAUCAUACUUCACCAAUCCAGUACCAUUUGUUCCAAUAAUAUGACCACAUUUUGUAGAGCAUAUUGGGGGAUCAUACUGAAUGUAAAUGUAAUCAAUAGAUAGGACAAGAGUCUUAGUCCAAGACGAAUGCACUUUGUAUUCUUUCAUAACCCAUAUUUCAAUUGUUACACCCCCCAUAGCCCAUAGACUGAGAAAUUCUCCAAAUAUCCACAAAUCACAAUCCAUAGGUUCAUGAUCAAAACCAUCUGGAAAAGGCAUCUCCAAAAGUUCCCUUUCCACUAAAUCAAAGGCAAUAAUAACAUCCAUUGAUAAAUCAUUGCGAAAAGAGAACCAAUGAAUAUUCCCAUUAAAGAGUGUCCCUACUGUGGGAUCAUCAUUUACAUUCAUAUAAUAAGGGAAGUGCUUAUACU